AACGAACGCUGGCGGCAUGCCUAACACAUGCAAGUCGAACGGGAUCCGGACUUCGGUCCGGUGAGAGUGGCGGACGGGUGAGUAACACGUGGGAACCUGCCUUUUGGUUCGGGAUAACCGCGGGAAACUGCGGCUAAUACCGGAUGCUCCCGAGAGGGAAAAGAUUUAUCGCCAGAAGAGGGGCCGCGUCCGAUUAGGUAGUUGGUGGGGUAAUGGCCUACCAAGCCGACGAUCGGUAGCUGGUCUGAGAGGAUGAUCAGCCACACUGGGACUGAGAUACGGCCCAGACUCCUACGGGAGGCAGCAGUGGGGAAUAUUGGACAAUGGGGGCAACCCUGAUCCAGCAAUGCCGCGUGAGUGAUGAAGGCCUUAGGGUUGUAAAGCUCUUUUUGCCAGGGAAGAUGAUGACUGUACCUGGAGAAUAAGCCCCGGCUAACUCGUGCCAGCAGCCGCGGUAAU
rnacentral:rRNA from 1 species